ACUCAAAUGAAUUGACGGGGACCCGCACAAGCGGUGGAGCAUGUGGUUUAAUUCGAUACGACGCGUAAAACCUUACCAAGGCUUGACAUGGUGGGCAAUGCUGGAGAAACUCAGCAGAGGUUAUCCCAACACAGGUGGUGCAUGGUCGUCGUCAGUUCGUGCUGUGAAGCGUAUGCUUAAGUGCUAGAACGAACGCAACCCUCGUAUUUAGUUGCUACCAUUUAGUUGAGAACCCUAAAUAGACUGCCAGGGUAACCUGGAGGAAGGAGAGGAUGACGUCUGAUCAUCAUGCCCCUUAUGCCUUGGGCUACACACGUGCUACAAUGGUUAGGACAAAGAGUUGCUAACUUGCAAAAGGGAGCCAAUCUCAAAAAACUAACCUUAGUUCGGAUUGAGGUCUGCAACUCGACCUCAUGAAGUCGGAAUCGCUAGUAAUCGUGAAUCAGCAAUGUCACGGUGAAUACGUUCUCGGGUCUUGUACACACCGCCCGU
rnacentral:rRNA from 1 species